rnacentral:rRNA from 1 species
GAUGAACGCUGGCGGCGUGCCUAAUACAUGCAAGUCGAGCGAACAGGCGCGGCGCUUGCGGCUCUCACGUUGGGGACGGGUGGGUGAGUAACGGGUGGAUAACCUACCUCUAAGACUGAGGUAUCUUCGAGAAGGCGGAGCUAAUACCGGAUAAUAUAUUGAGCGGCAUGGUUGAAUAGUGAAAUCCGGUUUUGCUGUCACUGCUAGCUGUAUGCGCGCUGCAUGAGCUAGUUGGUACGGUAACGGCUUCCCAAGGCAACGAUGCGUAGCCGAGCUGAGAGGGGGAUCGGCCACUGUGGAGCUGAGACACGGUCCAGACUCCUACGUGAGGCAGCAGUAGGGAAUCUUCCGCAAUGGGCGGAAGCUUGACGGAUCAACGCCGGGUGAGUGAAGAAGGUCUGCGGAUCGUAUAACUCUGUUAUGAGUGAAGAACAAAUGUGUAAGUAACUAUGCACGUCUUGACGGUACCUAGUCAGAAAGCCACGGCUAACUACGUG